GUGGUCAGUGGUAAACAACUCCGAGAAUAUUAUACAUACUCAUCAUAGUCUGCCAGCCUGGACAGUCCCGGUUUACUACAGUCCACCAGAAAAUAGCCAAGUGGACCAGUCCAGACCAAGAAAGAUUGUGGGGCACCAGCUAAAGCACAAACCCACCCAAUGCUGAGGUUCAAAAGGAAUUACACAAAUUGUACCUGCUGCCUCACUCCUGUAGUAUUCAUUCAAAUCACAAUUCAACGUUCCUUCUACUAACUUGGUAGUUGGCUCUGAGUGCUUUAAAGUCAACAUGCAUCCUCAUCUAUCAGUUCCAUUCUGUGACCUUAUGUGGCCUACUACUUUCCAGAUGAGCUUUUUGUUGAUCCUACAUGUUGUCAUUUCACAAUAAUAGCACUUAGAUUUGUCUUAGCCAGUUUUAACAGGGCAAAGUGACCAGGGCAAUCUAGGACAGUGACACUUUUUACAUCAUUGAAUUCGGUGGUAAGGGCCAUUCUAUUGCCAGUGUAGAUAUUAAAGGAUCACUCUAGGCACCCAGACCACUUCAGCUUAAUGAAGUGGUCUGGGUGCCAGG